UUGUCUCUUUUGUUCACUGAUAUAUCCCAAGUACCUUGGCACCUAGUAGGUACUCAAUAAAUUGUUGUUAACGACAUGAAUGAAGCACAGUUACUACUUACAGGUAAAUUCUGAAAACAAAAAUACUAUUCAUCUCAGUUUUCCUAGCCUUCCCACCCACAAGCAGCAGUGUUUCUCUGCCUCAGCAUGUCGGUUCUCCUGAGCGUCACUUUCCAAGCCCACGGGAGCCCCAGAGCAGCCCUGACCCUGACUUUCCACACAGCUGUUACCACCACAAGGAAUAGGACAUACAAGGUGAAGGGAGGGUUAAGGCAGGGAGUUGGAAGAAACACCAACACCUUUUUCAAACACAAACAUUGGGACAGUGUUUAAGUCUUGCAACUUUCAAUAAAUAAGGGAGGGAAAGAAUAAAAUUGAGAGAUGUUGGGUGCCUUCUCUAGGUAAAGCCAGAUGGCCUUGAUUGGCACCCGGAACUGGAGAGCUGUAGAGGAAUGACUUCUUGCGGAUUAACUGAGCUGUUGGAGAUGUUGAUGGACAUCUUGGCGGUACUGAGUUAUCCACUUCCCUUGUCUCUUCUAUCUCCUCCGAAAGAUAAGCAGUAUCUCCUGAAGACAAGGAACCCUACAAGGCAACUUUCUAGGCUAUUCUAUCUGUACCUCAGAUCAGAGAAAAAGCAAUCCUUAACACAACAGUGAUUGGCUCUUCCCAGGAUCAUGGACCAGAGGUGUAUAUAGGAGAUAAAUGACAACUCUCCCUGAAAUUGAUUUGGGUUGACACCUAGAUCAGGUGCUUUAUUAAAGAGUCGUUUAUUAAAGAGUCAUUGGUCCCAUGUGGUCAGGGGCCAAAUAUAGGCUUUGAAUGCAAGAAUCCAACCUUCCGCAUUGCUGAACACAUCUAGACAGGUACAGGUAUCCAUAGGUAUCCACUUAUCUGGGACAUGUAAGUGGAGAGGCAUGCACCUGAUUCACUCCUGAUCCAGGAAUUGCUGCCGGGCCCGCCCCCAAACAGCAGCAGCAUCACCCGGGCCGGCUAUUAAAGCCGUAGGCAGUGAGAGGAGGCCCUCAGACGUCUGAGAGCUCAGCAGUGCGUGGACACAGCCUCAGCCCACUGAGCAGGAGUCACAGCACGAGGACUAAGUGAAGAGGCGCAGCUGCAGCAGGACCCAGUGAGGAGAGAGGACAUAGAAGGAGGGAUUGGUUCUGACCAGGUAAGAGUACCCUCAGGUGAGUGAUAAGAUAAAUAAGGAAGGGACUCGACUUGGGGGAGAUAGAGACUCGACUUGGGUGAGUUGAGAACUCACACGGGGAAGAGGGGAGAAUGAUAUUUGGGGUAGAGGCAUAAAAUAGAAAAGAAUGGGGACACAGAGGAGAUAGGAUUGGGGAUGUGGAGGGGAUGAGACAUAGACAUAGGGACAUGGGGCCACAAUGGGGAGGGGACUUGAGGGAGAAGAGAUCAAACAAAGAGCAGGAGGCAACAGGGACAGAAUGAAGGGAGUCAGGCUACAAGGCCAGGGCCAUGGGGCCACAGUGGAUGCGCACACAUAGGAGAGGAAGAGAUGAGACACAGAAAGGGCAGGGAGAUGGGUGACCCACUAGAAUGAUCAAGUAUAGGAAAGCUGACUUCUCAACUGAACACCUCCUACUCUCUGUCCCAGUGACCCCAGCCCUCCAUUCUGACUGCUCCCCCCAGAGAGAUGGCACUAGACAGAGCAGAAUUCUGCUCACUGCUGCUGCUCCUACUGCUGGGGCUGUGGGUGGCCGAGACCCCAGUCAGUGCCAAGCCCAGCCACAUGACUCCAUCUCAGUGGUUUAAAACUCAGCAUGUGCAGCCCAAACCUCAAGCAUGCAAGUCAGCAAUGCGCAAUAUCAACAAAUACAAAAAACAUUGCAAAAACCUCAACACCUUCCUGCAUGAAUCCUUCUCCAAUGUGGCGACCACCUGCCAGAGCCCCAAUAUAGCCUGCAAGAAUAAGAACCAUAACAACUGCCACCAGAGUCAUGGGCCCGUGUCCCUGACGCUAUGUGAACUCACCUCAGGGAAGUACCCGAACUGCAGGUACAAAGAGAAGCAUCUGAACAAGGCUUACAUAGUGGCCUGUGACCCUCCCCAGAAAAAGGAAUCUCAGCAAUUCCGGCUGGUUCCUGUGCACUUGGACAAAAUCCUUUAGGUUUCCAGACUGCCUCACUCUUUGGCUGAAGCUGAAUUCUCUCUCCAGGCCUCUGCACCACUCCGCCCCUCCUACACUCAGAGCAUUCUCUUUCUCUCAUCUCUUGCGGCUCUUCCUGGUUCAGCCUCUUCUGGGAGGCUGAAGAGGAACUAAGGCUGACACCUUGGUGGGCUGAGCUCCAGAAGAUAUGGUCUUUCAUCUUUUUGUUGCUGUUUUCCCAUAAGCUUACCCCCCACAGGUGAUCUGAGCAGGACCAGGGGUCUGGACCCCCUGGUCUAUGCCCCUGUACUUCUCUCCCCUGUCCCAGUUUAUCAUUGCAGCAUGACAAGGGAAGGAAACAAAUGGAAAAAGGACACGUGAGAUUUAUGCACAGAGCUGUUCCUGUUCCUAGACUAGAAGUCUUCCCCAGCUCUGACGUGGUAGUGAGGUGACCUGUGUGGAGAGAGGUGGCCAGAGGGAAAGAAGACAAAGAAAUACCACUUCAUGAAGAGAACUUCAUGCUCUUCCUGUGCACUUUCUACUAUACCAGUUGGACAAGAAAGGAGAGAUCACUGCAGGGACAAGCAGAGAACUAGGUGAGAGUUCACGCAUGAAGAAAUGUACCCUGAGAGCUCUGAACAGCCAGUCACCCAGUGCUGGCUGCAAUAAACGUCAUUACCUCUCCAGCCAAGAGACUGUUUUUGAGGUGCCCAGGGAUCUUCAUUCAUUCAUUCUCUCUCUCUUUCUCUCUAACUGCGCCACCCUCCCCUGCUCUAGCCCACUGCUCUUUCGACCUGGGCCCUGGGCCUGGCUCUGGCCAGAUCCCCUUGGCCUGAAGGCAUAAGGUAAAGGGAGUGUCCCAGCUUCAACCCCCUGAUCCAGGAUCACAUUUCCCUUGACCUUAAGGGACUUCCGUGGCUCUGAGCCUACUUGUCACAAACAGGCUGAUGAGAGCUGCCAGAGCUUCCUUCCUCCUGAUGAUAUCUCCCCUGCCUCAGUGCUUCCCUGGCUCUCCACCCUGGCAGUCUGCCCAGGCCUGAGGGGUUGAGAUGUGAAAAUGCCAUCUCCUUGUCCCCCUGGUCUGCGGACGCCAUUACUCCCUCUCUAGUGAGCAGAGCCGGAGAAGGUCUAGCUUUGUAUGGCUAAGUCCUGAAGGCCCCUCCGGCACUGCCUACAGCCCUGACCACCACCCUCCCCUUCUCUCUUUCUUUAUCCUAGUCCCAGAGAAACUGCACUAUGCCCCACGCCUACCCUACUCCAGACAGUCCUUCUGCCCCUGAUGGGGAUUCUAUUCUACCUAUCUCUUCCCACUAACUGUGGUGAACAGAGUCAGAGUAAGCUUUGGAGCCAGUCAGAAUUGGAUACAAAUCCUGGCUCAGUUGUUCCUGGCUAUGGGACCUCAAGCAAGAGGCAGGUCUGUUUCCCCAUAGCAAAAUGGGAGUAAUCUUACCUGACAAACAGGAUUGCAGGAAGAUUUAGAAAUGACAUUUAUGAAGCUCUACUCAGCCCCAGGUACUGUAGCCAUUAGAUAAUGAUAACUAGUCAGUGGUGGUAGCAGUAGUAGCAAUAUCCACCUUUAGAAAACACACACACCAAGGCAAAUGUCCCACUCAAGUCUCCAGUUCUAUUCUGCUGGAGGAAUGUUCAUGCACGGGCUGGGGGACAAGCCUGCAAGCAGAGUCCUGCCAGGGCAGCCGGGUUGUUUGAGAUGAUGAGGGAGAAGGUAGGGAAAAGAUGAUCAAAAGAAAAGGGAGCAGAUCAUUGAGCAAUUCAAACAGAAUGUGGGCCAGUAAGUUGAUGAGUUGGCCAUCAAAGAGGCUUGAAAGUAGAGGAACACUAAAAACAUGUUGUGGCCAAAUGCCAAAUGACUGAGUGUAAAGAUAAGUAUUCCCUGGAAACAGAACAUUGCCAUCAUAGAAUUGACUUCUGGGAUACUCAAAUAAAUCUGACGUUUUAUCCAAAAUCAGAAUGUGUUUGAAACUCCUGUGGUCACUCUACUAUACAAUUACCUUCUAAAUAGAUGAUUUUCAACUGAGGUGCAUAGAAAAGCAAGAUGCUUGGGGACAGCUGAUUUUUCUCUUCACUUUAUUCUUUUUUCACAACUCUUUAUGUUCUUUGUUGGUGAUUUUUCUUAUGGAUAUUAUGGUUUUAGAGACAAUCUCCUCACAAAAUUUGAAGUGGAUAAAAUUAUGCCUUUAAUGCAUCCUCCAGAAUAAGAAUUUCCAAAUAGAACUUUUUCUUGAAAGACUUAACCUAAAUAGCACUAAAUAACUAAAAGUUUCUAAAGUAAUCUGUAGUGAUAAAGGUCAGAAUAGUUG